rnacentral:rRNA from 1 species
UACGGGAGGCAGCAGUGAGGAAUAUUGGUCAAUGGGCGAUGGCCUGAACCAGCCAAGUAGCGUGCGGGAUGACGGCCCUAUGGGUUGUAAACCGCUUUUGCAGGGGAAUAAAGUGCGGUACGCGUACCGUUUUGUAUGUACCCUGAGAAUAAGGACCGGCUAAUUCCGUGCCAGCAGCCGCGGUAAU